GAUGAAGAACGUAGCGAAAUGCGAUAAGUAAUGUGAAUUGCAGAAUUCAGUGAAUCAUCGAAUCUUUGAACGCACAUUGCGCCCCCUGGUAUUCCGGGGGGCAUGCCUGUCCGAGCGUCAUUACAACCCUCAAGCUCAGCUUGGUGUUGGGCCCCGCCGCCCCGGCGGGCCCUAAAGUCAGUGGCGGCGCCGUCCGGCUCCGAGCGUAGUAAUUCUUCUCGCUCUGGAGGUCCGGUCGUGUGCUCGCCAGCAACCCCCAAUUUUUUUCAGGUUGACCUCGGAUCAGGUAGGGAUACCCGCUGAACUUAAGCAUAUCAAUAAGCGGAGGA
rnacentral:misc_RNA from 1 species